GAUUCUGGCUCAGGAUGAACGCUGGCGGCGUGCCUAAUACAUGCAGGUCGUACGAGGUUAAUCCAGCUUGCUGGAGAGACCUAGUGGCGAACGGGUGAGUAAUACGUAAGUAACCUGCCUGCAAGGACUGGGAUAACACCUGGAAACGGGCGCUAAUACCGGAUAGGUAACAGAGGGGCAUCCCACUGUUAUUAAAGGUUAAAGACACAAGCAGAUGGGCUUACGGUGCAUUAGCUAGUUGGUGAGGUAACGGCCCACCAAGGCGAUGAUGCAUAGCCGGCCUGAGAGGGUGAACGGCCACAUUGGGACUGAGACACGGCCCAGACUCCUACGGGAGGCAGCAGUAGGGAAUUUUCGGCAAUGGGCGCAAGCCUGACCGAGCAACGCCGCCGUGAGUGAAGAAGAAUUUCGGUUCGUAAAGCUCUGUUGUAAGGGAAGAAUAACACGGAGAGAAUCCGUGCAUGACGGUACCUUACCAGAAAGCCACGGCUAACUACGUGCCAGCCGCCGC
rnacentral:rRNA from 1 species